GGGGGGUCGAAGUCGAGCCUCGCUGGCUCCGGCGCGGAACUGAGGGGACCGGGUCCUUCCCGCUGAAGCAUGGCAUAAGCCACGUUGGUCCCCUCAGCCUCCUUCGUGUCCUUUCCCUGGGGCAACACGGGGUGACGCGGGGCCAGACCGGCACCCCUUCUGGCCGGAGGGACCCUCCCCAUCCUCUAACGUCUGAGCAGCCUGUACCCUGCGUGCAAGGAACCAGUUUGGUUAUAAAAUCAAAGCAUGUGAUCAACAGCUCGUACAUUAUAUUGGUGUGGACCCAGAGAGCAAGCACAGACGAAGAGCAGACACUGACCUCACAGUUCUGACAGGUAUGUCAUACAGUCCUCAGUUGUGCUUUGUUUCCUCCUUCUGUAGAGUAGGCUCCUCUCUCAAGGCAAGUGUCUCACCCAAUUUCCUUGGGUUAGUGUCUGGUUAGUUGCGUUUUCAGAUAUACUUAGUCACUAUAGUUGUUCAUAUUAAUGAUCAGAGGAGUUCUACCUGUGGGUUCAGAUAUCAAACUAUUCGUAAGUUCCAACAGCCCUGAACUCAGUUAAAACUCAAAGCCGAGAAAAGACCAGUAUUUUACUGGUGCAGAUUUCAGACGUCUGAUAGGUACGGGGAAAAACAAAAACCAAAAAACUCCCAGGUGUUUUGUGUUUUACUCCUUUGCCUUUUACAAAGAUGAUUUUCUGACGUGUUUUAGUGGAGUUUAUACUGGUGCCAUGGAGGUGUGUUGUUAAUGCCAACACUGAGCAAAGGCAAGGUUACUUCAGUAACCUGAGACCUUUUAAAGCUAUCAAAGUAGACUUCUUGCAUGAAGGGCAAGGAUUCCCUAGCCAGAGGCCCUGGGGCAGGAGCUUCAACUCCUUGUUCCUGAACAUGGCCACCAUCGAGGCCACGCCCCUGAAGGCCUGGCAGCCAGGGGCUCCUUGGUGGGCAAGCGAGGCCCCGGAACACCACUACCUGUUGUUCCCACACCUGCUCUGGUGGAGUGCCAGGUAGCCAGGUUUGCCCACAAUCCUCUGAGUGGCCCAAACCCUCCCUCCCUCUCCUCACAGGUCUUCCUCAGUAGGAUC
rnacentral:lncRNA from 1 species